CCGGCGCUGUCGAGGAGGCCUCUGCCGAGCUGCGGGCUGGGGGCAUGGGCUGCGAAGGGCCGCGGCCACCGUCGCAGGGACAUGAGCCUGACGAAUCUGAGGAGGAGGCCGGGGACGUGGAGUCCGAGUGGCCGGCCCAGCCCCAACCCUGGGGGCUCUAUAUUAUGAUGAAUGGUGAUAUGCCCAGCUAAAAAACUACAUUUCCCAGCCUCCCUUGCAGAUGGAAUGGCCAAUGAGAGGUUAGUAGAAAUAUUGUAUGGGACUUUUAGGAAAGCUCUUUAAAGCAGAGAGGAACACUCCUGUGGCUGUACGUCCUUAUAUUGUCAUCCUGGAAAACAAAUGUGAUGGCUGGAGCUUCAGCAACUAUUUUGUGACCUUGAGGCAAUCUCAAGGACAGAAGUCAUACCUAAGGAUGGUGGAGCAAAAGGAAGCCUGAGGCAUUGAUGACAACAUGGAAGUACCAUUCUGGCCCAGAACUGUGUAACCCUGAAUUUCUUUAACAUGAGAGAAAAAUUA